CCUAGAACUCACUGUGUAGCCCAGGCUGGCCUCAAAUUCGCAGCGAUCCUCCUGCCUCAGCCUCCUGAGUACUGGGAU
rnacentral:miRNA from 1 species